rnacentral:rRNA from 1 species
AUACGUAGGGGGCGAGCGUUGUCCGGAAUGAUUGGGCGUAAAGGGCGCGUAGGCGGCCCGGUAAGUCUGGAGUGAAAGUCCUGUUUUUAAGAUGGGAAUUGCUUUGGAUACUGUCGGGCUUGAGUGCAGGAGAGGUAAGUGGAAUUCCCAGUGUAGCGGUGAAAUGCGUAGAGAUUGGGAGGAACACCAGUGGCGAAGGCGACUUACUGGACUGUAACUGACGCUGAGGCGCGAAAGUGUGGGGAGCAAACAGGAUUAGAUACCCUGGUAGUCCACACUGUAAACGAUGAAUGCUAGGUGUAGGGGGUAUCGACCCCUUCUGUGCCGCAGUCAACACAAUAAGCAUUCCGCCUGGGGAGUACGACCGCAAGGUUGAAACUCAAAUGAAUUGACGGG